rnacentral:rRNA from 1 species
UGCGUAGGCGGUUUGGUAAGUCUUGUGUGAAAUCUAUGGGCUCAACUCAUAGUCUGCACGAGAAACUGCCGGGCUUGAGUGUGGGAGAGGUGAGUGGAAUUUCCGGUGCAGCGGUGAAAUGCGUAGAUAUCGGAAGGAACACCUGUGGCGAAAGCGGCUCACUGGACCAUAACUGACGCUGAUGCACGAAAGCUAGGGGAGCAAACAGGAUUAGAUACCCUGGUAGUCCUAGCCCUAAACGAUGACUGCUUGGUGUGACGGGUACCCAAUCCCGCCGUGCCGUAGCUAACGCGUUAAGCAGUCCGCCUGGGGAGUACGGUCGCAAGGCUGAA